GGGAAGGGAAGUGCGUCCGUAGGGGAGGGCCCACCUCUCCAGGUUGAAACGAUGGCGGUCAGAACCGCCUGAGCUAAAUGCAAGAUGGUAUGGCAUCCAGACUCUGCUCAUAAGUAUCUGCAGUGAUCCAUACCUUGAUUGUACAUCUACUCUGCAUCCUGAGGACCUGAACAUGCUAACUGGUGGCUGCAGAUUUGUCUUCUAAGGAGCAAGUGUGGUCUGUGGACAGGCAGCUUCAGCCUCACCUGGGAUUUUGUUUGCACUAGAAAGUGCCAAGCCCUACCCUAGACCUAUUAAAGCAGAACUGGCGUUUAACAAGACACCCCAGGUAAUUUGUGUGCACCUUAAAGUCUGAGAUGCACUAGUGUAGUGAUUCGCAGGGGGACAAUUUUGACCUCCAGGGGACAAUAUCUGGAGACAUUUUUGGGUGUCACAACGUGCUGGGGAGAGGGUGCUACUGGCAUCUAAUGGGCUGAGGCCAAGGGUGCUGCUAAACAUCCGGCGAUACCGGGCCAACCUCCCCCCUCCUCCUGCCCACAGUAAAGAAUUACCCCGCCUGGAUUGUCAGUAGUGCAGAGGUAGAGGAAACCCUACACCUGUGAAACUCAUCUGACCUUUACUAUGAAUUCCUGGAUCUCCUGGUGCAUAUCAUUUCUGUUGCCCUGGCUGACAUUUCCACCUUUUCUCUUUUCUAGAUUUUAUUACAAGAACUCAAUCUGUUGGUCUCUAGGAAUCACCUAUUGCCUUACUAUGUUUUGUUGAACCUGUUUUUGAAUCUGCUUUCUACAUUGGGGAAAUAGGUAUACGUUUGUAAACCUUAAAAGCUCUGUAUGCUAUAAGGAAAUCACCAGACACGUGGAUAAGCUUUGCAGAGGUGAAGGGCUGUCUCCACCAGAGAGACCCAGAAGGAGUCAGGGUAAGCCUGACUCAUCAUGAGAUCAGGUAUCCCCAAUCCACAGCGGACUUCCACAGUUCACCUUCCUAGGUAACCGCUCUGCCUUCCCAGGUAAAGUAGGAAUAAUAUCCGAACUUACAGCAUAUUUUGAGGUCAAAUUUGUAGAAUUUGGUGAUUUCAUUUUUAUUAUUACUCAACCUUUUAUUUACAACCAAAUUAAUAAGGCUACUUACACAUAACAAUGUGUGGACAUACACAUUAAGAGAAUCAUUCGCUGCCUAGCACUCCUACCUAGGUACUUUAAGAACAUCAUUGAGUGGAUACUCCCUCUGCUGGGUAAAAUACUUUGCCACAAUAUCAGCUGAAAUGAUACCUCUUCCAGACUGUAAUGGCAGAAGUAGUUAUCCCCACUUUUGUGCUGUCAUCACACUUGAUGCAUGCCUACUUUAUAAUACUUAAGCCAUUGUCUCUGUUAUUGGGUUUCUGUCUUCUACUGUGAAAGGGUGAGCCCAUAAAAAACAGGGAAUGUGUCUUUCAAAAUGUUGUAUCCUGCUCAUUCUGAUGUGAAGCCAUUGUCCUCCUUCAAUAAAAUAAAACAGCAUUUC
rnacentral:lncRNA from 1 species